rnacentral:misc_RNA from 1 species
GUUCCGUAGGUGAACCUGCGGGAGGAUCAUUACUGAGUGAGGGCCCCUCGGGGUCCAACCUCCCACCCGUGUUUAACGAACCUUGUUGCUUCGGCGGGCCCGCCUCACGGCCGCCGGGGGGCAUCUGCCCCCGGGCCCGCGCCCGCCGAAGCCACCUGUGAACGCUGUCUGAAGUAUGCAGUCUGAGACAAUUAUUAAAUUAAUUAAAACUUUCAACAACGGAUCUCUUGGUUCCG